CCACGCCGUAAACGAUGAGUGCUAGGUGUCGGGAGUCAAAUCUCGGUGCCGCAGUUAACGCAAUAAGCACUCCGCCUGGGGAGUACGUACGCAAGUAUGAAACUCAAAGGAAUUGACGGGGACCCGCACAAGCAGCGGAGCAUGUGGUUUAAUUCGAAGCAACGCGAAGAACCUUACCAGAACUUGACAUCCCUCUGACAUACUCUUAAUCGAGUAGUUCUUCGGACAGAGGAGACAGGUGGUGCAUGGUUGU
rnacentral:rRNA from 1 species